GGAAAUCGGGAGAGUGGGAGACGCUUGUGGCCAUGGUGUGAAAGAUGCUGAGAUUGAAAUUGGUGUUAAGAGAUGUUCGAAUCAGUGUUGUUCUGUUUGAAUGGAAUGAGAUUGUCGUCUUGCUCCAUAGCUUUUUGUGAGAUUGAAGGUCUUUCUACCCUCCGAUUCCGUGAAUUCUUCAUCUGGCUCCGUUUGAAUUUCUUGUUCUUUUUCCUUCUCAAAAGAAGGAAAGUGAAUAUGAAUACAGGAGCGAGAAAGAGUUGAGGAAGUUGAAGAAAUCUGACAAUUGAAGAAGCUAAUCGAGGAGGAUAGUGGGAGUGAGAUGGAGGAGAGAGAAUCGAGAAGAGGAGCAAGAUUUUUGCUCCCACUGCAUGCUUCCAUGGUUCUUUGAACAUGAGGGCCAGAAAGAUGAGGAUUUAGGAGCCAAUAAAGCCCAUGGACCCCGUCUAAAGAUUGGAGAGUUGUUUCAAACUAAAUUCCAUCCAUGAAGAAUCGAACCAAGACAAUGGAAAUUACAGCUUCUCCGUUUGAGUUUCUCCAGAAAUCGUUCUUUAUUACUCUGCCUUAGCUCCUUGGCAUUCUUAUAAUUUAGCAGAUUUCACUUGUUUAAAACUUACUUUACAUUCAAGAGAAAUGAGUCAGAUUUACAAGCUACCGGCAAGGUGAAACUCGACCAUCUUUUGGACAGUUAUGAUGUUUUAACUAGUGUAUUUAUGUUCUUUUGGACAGUUAUGAUGUUUUAACUAGUGUAUUUAUGUUCUUUUGGACAGUUAUGAUGUUUUAACUAGUGUAUUUAUGUUCUAGUUGGCUAUUAUUGAACUAACGACAACUAUAAACACAAGGUGACAUUUGUAUAUUUGUGUAUGCCAAUUGAGCUAUGCUGAUUUUGACA